AAAAAAAAAAAAAAAACAAAACAAAACAAAACAAAACAAAAAACAAAAACAAAAACAAAACAAAACAAAACAAAACUAAGCAGCUACUUUGCCGAGGUGAAUUCCUCCCACGAGUCCUUCAAGUACCUGAUCUUAUUGACCGUUAGAAAAGGAUCAGCAUUUAUCUUUCUAAAUAUCAUAUCGUUUCUGACCUUCCAAAUAACCCACCAGCAGGCUAUCAAUCCGGUCAGCUUAGGACGAGCAAGCUGAUUUCUAAAUCUUGAAAUCCACUUAUCCCAGAUGUGGGACACUUCGUCACCCAGGUCUAUCAAUUGAAUCCCCUCCAAGGCUGUUACUAUUAGGAAUUUACUAAAUACGCAUUGCGUGAAUAGAUGAUCCAUAGUUUCCUCUUCCACCCUACAUAGUACACAGGCUAUAGGCCCCAUCCAUCCUCGUUUAAGUAGGUUGUCCGUUGUAAGAUGUCUCUUCUUAAUGACAAGCCAGGCAAAGAUUUUAACUUUCAAGGGUAUUCUGAGACUCCAAAUUUUACUUGCACGU
rnacentral:lncRNA from 1 species